GAUGAAGAACGCAGCGAAAUGCGAUACGUAAUGUGAAUUGCAGAAUUCAGUGAAUCAUCGAAUCUUUGAACGCAUAUUGCGCUCUUUGGUAUUCCGAAGAGCAUGCUUGUUUGAGUAUCAGUAAACACCUCAAAAGACUUUCAUUUUUGAAAUGAUUUUGGACUUGAGCAAUCCCAACACCAGUCUUCACGGAUCGGCGGAGGGUUGCUUGAAAUGCAGGUGCAGCUGGACAUUCUCCUGAGCUAAAAGCAUAUCUAUUUAGUCCCGUCAAACGGAUUAUUACUUUUGCUGCAGCUAACAUAAGGGAGUUUGACCAUUUUGGCUGACUGAUGCAGGAUUUCACAAGGGUCGGUAAAACGAUUUUUGUAAAACUCGAUCUCAAAUCAAGUAAGACUACCCGCUGAACUUAAGCAUAUCAAUAAGCGGAGGA
rnacentral:misc_RNA from 1 species